rnacentral:rRNA from 1 species
GACGAACCGAGCGAACGUUGUUCGGAAUCACUGGGCUUAAAGGGCGCGUAGGCGGGUGCUCAAGUCCGUGGUGAAAUCCUCCGGCUCAACCGGAGAACUGCCUCGGAUACUGGGUGCCUCGAGGGUGGCAGGGGUAUGCGGAACUAUCGGUGGAGCGGUGAAAUGCGUUGAUAUCGAUAGGAACUCCGGUGGCGAAGGCGGCAUACUGGACCACCUCUGACGCUGAGGCGCGAAAGCCAGGGGAGCAAACGGG